AUUUGUGUUCAUAUCACCCUGCAGUUCUUGCCUGGUUUCCUACUAAAGCUAAGCAGGGCUGAGCCUGGCCAGUACCUGGAUGGGAGACCUCCUGGGGAAAACUAAGGUUGCUGUUGGAA
ensembl:rRNA 5S_rRNA 5S ribosomal RNA